rnacentral:lncRNA from 1 species
CUUGGGCUUUCUUCGACGAUGAUUAUUAUUAUCCACGUCGGAAUUGGUGGAACGUUCUGAUUGGGCCUGGGCUGCAAGGAGAGGCUGGAGGCGUUCGCGGAGGCAUGAAGCGCACACGCCGAUGGUGCUUGUGAGGUCCGGUAAGUGUUUCUUACACCUCAUUGUCUGCGUUUUAUUUAAAAUACGACACCGUUUUUGUUUAUAUUGUGAAACCGAUGAUGUCGUAGUGAGUUCUGAGAGAGAGCUAUCUGACGGAGAAUUCUCAGCAAAAGAAAAAAAAUCUUACGGAGAAUUUAAAGGGGAAGCUUUGUCUUGUUCUUGCAAAAACAAAUAAAGAGAGAGAAA